rfam:Gossypium raimondii Chr02_contig_596, whole genome shotgun sequence.
AGACCAUGGGGUGGGCAUCUUUGUAUCAGCAUUUUAAAACGUUCCCAGGCUUCGUGAAAGCUUUCUCCUUCUAGCUGCUUAAAGGUAGCGAUCUCUCUUCUUAGUUA